AAUAGAAUACCCCGGUAGUCCACGCCGUAAACGAUGAGUGCUAAGUGUUGGGGGGUUUCCGCCCCUCAGUGCUGCAGCUAACGCAUUAAGCACUCCGCCUGGGGAGUACGGUCGCAAGACUGAAACUCAAAGGAAUUGACGGGGGCCCGCACAAGCGGUGGAGCAUGUGGUUUAAUUCGAAGCAACGCGAAGAACCUUACCAGGUCUUGACAUCCUGGUGACCACUAUGGAGACAUAGUUUCCCCUUCGGGGGCAACGGUGACAGGUGGUGCAUGGUUGUCGUCAGCUCGUGUCGUGAGAUGUUGGGUUAAGUCCCGCAACGAGCGCAACCCUUAUUCUUAGUUGCCAUCAUUCAGUUGGGCACUCUAAGGAGACUGCCGGUGAUAAACCGGAGGAAGGUGGGGAUGACGUCAAAUCAUCAUGCCCCUUAUGACCUGGGCUACACACGUGCUACAAUGGACGGUACAAACGGUUGCCAACCCGCGAGGGGAGCUAAUCCGAUAAAACCGUUCUCAGUUCGGAUUGUAGGCUGCAACUCGCCUAC
rnacentral:rRNA from 1 species